ensembl:snRNA U6 U6 spliceosomal RNA
GUGCCCACUUUGGUAGCCCAUACACUAAAACUGGAAUGAUUCAGAGAAAAUAAGCACAAGGAAGACAUGCAAAGUCAUAAAGCCAUCUGUAUUUAC